GAAUGUGUGUUGCUCCUUGUGGCAGGUAUACUGUUCCAAUGCCCUGGGAUCUCUGUAGUGGUCGGUACUGUAUUGAUUAUAAAUGGUGAAGUCCUAGUAUCUUGCUAGAGUGAGCUGGCCAGGAUGGUGGAGCUCUACCACCAUUUCACAGGUUAUAGACAGGGGCCACCAGGUUUCAGGAAAGCAGCAAUGACCCCUCAGUAAUAGUUGGAAAGUGUGAUAUGACACUGAGCUUCACUGUGUUGGUGAAGAAGAGGUGAGGAAAAUAAAAGCUGCAGUUUGCCUCCACCUCUGAAGAAGCACAAUACACCUUUCUGGGUUACCAAUGGGAUACUUCCCAACAGCUUUGUCAUCACAUACAAUAUUCUCAAACAAGAUCUUAAUGGCAUCUACUUUCUCCAGGAACACAGCCCCUGACCUGUGUGUGUUUGCGUAGAGAAGGCAUGCUAUGUACCCCCUAGGAUAUCAAGAUUCCUGUAGCAGAUUGAGCUCUGGCAGUUGAUCUCAGUGGCUUGAUAGAGUGUCAUUAUAAAAACGCACCUGGAAGAUUCUGUGGAAAAGACAACCUCAGAAGACCAAGAGGCUGACUUUGCAAGAGAGAGUCCGUUUACCACUUAGAACCGUGAACACCACCCCCGCCCUCAUUUAUCUCCAGACUUGAACUAGUGGUUAAAUCCCAACAUGUCCCAGAGAAGUCAAAAGCAUUGUAAAAUCUGGGAAUCUGCCCACCACUCAAGCCUGGGAAAGCUGGCAGAGGAUGCACGUGUUUUACUCACCUGAGUGUUUACAAUGCUCGUGAGGUGCCUCCCUGAUAAAGGGAAAGGCUGGUAAAAUGCCACAGCGUUCUGGCUAAAGCAACAACGCAAUUGUGAAGAGAGAAAACUGCAUUCAUCCACAUGUCCCAGCAAGAGCUAUCACCAAAGGCAUUGUGAAGCAGUUGAGCAGUUACAUCUGCUCUCCUUUAACAGGAAUGAGUCUUUAGUACCCGGUUGCAAAUGUUGACUUUUACCUUUUCUUUAAAUGUCUGCUACUCUUUGUCAUAUUUCUUCUCCUUCUCUCCAAAUUCUACCAAUAAAAGUAAAAAUUACUGAA
ensembl:lncRNA LINC00616 long intergenic non-protein coding RNA 616